rnacentral:piRNA from 1 species
UCACGGUUUCGAUGUGCUACCUGAUAAGGAC